rnacentral:lncRNA from 1 species
GCCCCACUAACAACAAGAACAUUACCGAGUUUAUAUAUUCAACACCCUUUGCAAUCUCUCUUGCACUCGAAAAUAAAGUCAUGGAAUACAUUUAUUGCUUAGCGCCUAUUCCGAGGUACCCCCACAACUGAAAAUCCGAUAACUGGAAAAGGCCGACAAGGAGCUAUAGGAACUCCAUGACUAUUGGGUGCUAACAGGACCUGCGGAUUCUUUAGCAUCAAAGAUAAAGCUCUAUAUUCUUUACCUAUCGAAGAUCAGUAUUCCUCACCUUCACCUUAUCCCGUAUCUUAUCUUGACACUCCGGAUACAGGCUAAUGAUUCUACUCCUGUUUCGACGCAAGUAUCUUCUCUUUAUUCUCUACUCCUGUUGAUGCCCCAACUCUAUUUGUUCUAUCAACUCCAAAACGAUAUUUGUUCUAUGAAUUUACCUAUCUUAUAAUAGGUAAUCUUCAAUCAAGACACGAAUUGCCUUAACCGAUUAACUACUGUUGGCCAAUACGAGUUUUGUCCACAAGAUCAGAAGCUAUUACUGGCUUUGAUGCACUACACUACCCUAAGUCAAUCAGUCUCAUCCUAUUCCUAUCCUAGCAAAGUCCAUUAAGUAGAUAUAAGUUCUGCGCUAACAGCCAGUUUCCGAAUGAUUUGUUGAGUUCCUAUCUUCAUCGUCUUCCAGUAUAGAAUCUGCAGUGCUAGUCAAGUCUGGGUUUAGGGCAUAAUCUUAAUAAAGUGCUUCUUCAGCGCAGGUGUAGUCUGAAGUAAGUCUACUUUCGGUUUCGAGGUGCCUAUAUCUAGCUUACUCUUUGGUCGGGGAAGCAUAUUCCUAUUUCUCAGAAGCAAGGGAUUCCGUUUCAUUCUUUGUUGCAAGCCGGUAGCUCGGAAAUAAAUCUAUUACAUGCUAUUAUGAGAGACUAUGCAAUCAGAUCUUGUGAACAUGCUUAGGAACCAAUAGAAGAUAAGAAAGAAGGGUUUUGUUCAAAGGCCAGGUCCUCCCUAUUAAGGAUAUUCAACAGGAAAGGGUGCCGACAUGAGUGAUUGAAGUUGAACUCGCUAAUCUAAUGUACCACUUACUAAUUACUUGAAUCCAGCUUACCAAGCAAUUCUCUCGUAGACAACACUAGCACCAAACCUAGACUUAUAAGAACAUAUGUGCUUACUGCUGAUUGACUUA